rnacentral:rRNA from 1 species
AUGUGUAGCUUAUCUAAGAGCUCUCAAAUGGUAUGGCUUGCAUUACGUCGAAGUGGUACUAUUAUCACCACCAAGGGGGACAACCGACACAUGAGAAGCGAUAACAUAAGAAGCAACAUAACUCCCUCAUAUAGGCAGACAACAUCGAAGAGUCAUCCCGACAAAGAAACCGUUACAACAGUAGCAGGUCAGAGAAACAACCCAAAAACCCACCGAAUCAGCGGCACACACAGAAAUUACAUAACUAAGAAUCACAUACAAGGACAGAUCAAAUCACGAGGAAAUAAAAUAAUUCCAAUAUGUAGGAUGGGUUACUAA